rnacentral:rRNA from 1 species
GAUGAACGCUGGCGGCGUGCUUAACACAUGCAAGUCGAACGGUGAAGCCAAGCUUGCUUGGUGGAUCAGUGGCGAACGGGUGAGUAACACGCGAGCAACCUGCCCUGGACUCUGGGAUAAGCGCUGGAAACGGCGUCUAAUACUGGAUAUGAGCCUCUUCCGCAUGGUGGGGGUUGGAAAGAUUUUUUGGUCUGGGAUGGGCUCGCGGCCUAUCAGCUUGUUGGUGAGGUAAUGGCUCACCAAGGCGUCGACGGGUAGCCGGCCUGAGAGGGUGACCGGCCACACUGGGACUGAGACACGGCCCAGACUCCUACGGGAGGCAGCAGUGGGGAAUAUUGCACAAUGGGCGAAAGCCUGAUGCAGCAACGCCGCGUGAGGGAUGACGGCCUUCGGGUUGUAAACCUCUUUUAGCAGGGAAGAAGCGAAAGUGACGGUACCUGCAGAAAAAGCGCCGGCUAACUACGUG